rnacentral:rRNA from 1 species
GACGAACGCUGGCGGCGUGCCUAAUACAUGCAAGUCGAGCGCUGAAGGUUGGUACUUGUACCAACUGGAUGAGCAGCGAACGGGUGAGUAACGCGUGGGGAAUCUGCCUUUGAGCGGGGGACAACAUCUGGAAACGAAUGCUAAUACCGCAUAAAAACUUUAAACACAAGUUUUAAGUUUGAAAGAUGCAAUUGCAUCACUCAAAGAUGAUCCCGCGUUGUAUUAGCUAGUUGGUGAGGUAAAGGCUCACCAAGGCGAUGAUACAUAGCCGACCUGAGAGGGUGGUCGGCCACCUUGGGACUGGGGCACCGCCCCAGCUCCCUCGGGAGGCAGCAGUAGGGGAUCUUCGGCCAUUGGCGGAAGUCUGGCCGAACACCGCCGCGUGAGUUGAGGAGGUUUUCGGGUCGUAAAACUCUGUUUGUAGGGAAGAACGUUGGUGAGAGUGGAAAGCUCAUCUAGUGACGGUAACUACCCAGAAAGGAACGGCUAACUACGUG